rnacentral:rRNA from 1 species
GGAUGGACUCGCGGCCUAUCAGCUAGUUGGUGAGGUAACGGCUCACCAAGGCGUCGACGGGUAGCCGGCCUGAGAGGGUGACCGGCCACACUGGGACUGAGACACGGCCCAGACUCCUACGGGAGGCAGCAGUGGGGAAUAUUGCACAAUGGGCGCAAGCCUGAUGCAGCAACGCCGCGUGGGGGACGAAGGCCUUCGGGUUGUAAACCUCUUUUAGUAGGGAAGAAGCGAAAGUGACGGUACCUGCAGAAAAAGCACCGGCUAACUACGUGCCAGCAGCCGCGGUAAUACGUAGGGUGCGAGCGUUGUCCGGAAUUAUUGGGCGUAAAGAGCUCGUAGGCGGUUUGUCACGUCUGCUGUGAAAACCCGAGGCUCAACCUCGGGCCUGCAGUGGGUACGGGCAGACUAGAGUGCGGUAGGGGAGAACGGAAUUCCUGGUGUAGCGGUGGAAUGCGCAGAUAUCAGGAGGAACACCGAUGGCGAAGGCAGUUCUCUGGGCCGUAACUGACGCUGAGGAGCGAAAGCGUGGGGAGCGAACAGGAUUAGAUACCCUGGUAGUCCACGCCGUAAACGUUGGGCGCUAGAUGUGGGGACCAUUCCACGGUUUCCGCGUCGUAGCUAACGCAUUAAGCGCCCCGCCUGGGGAGUACGGCCGCAAGGCUAAAACUCAAAGGAAUUGACGGGGGCCCGCACAAGCGGCGGAGCAUGCGGAUUAAUUCGAUGCAACGCGAAGAACCUUACCAAGGCUUGACAUAUGCGAGAACGCUCUAGAAAUAGAGAACUCUUUGGACACUCGUGUACAGGUGGUGCAUGGUUGUCGUCAGCUCGUGUCGUGAGAUGUUGGGUUAAGUCCCGCAACGAGCGCAACCCUCGUCGCAUGUUGCCAGCACGUAAUGGUGGGAACUCAUGUGAGACUGCCGGGGUCAACUCGGAGGAAGGUGGGGAUGACGUCAAAUCAUCAUGCCCCUUAUGUCUUGGGCUUCACGCAUGCUACAAUGGCCGGUACAAAGGGCUGCGAAACCGCAAGGUGGAGCGAAUCCCAAAAAGCCGGUCUCAGUUCGGAUUGAGGUCUGCAACUCGACCUCAUGAAGUCGGAGUCGCUAGUAAUCGCAGAUCAGCAACGCUGCGGUGAAUA